rnacentral:rRNA from 1 species
GACGAACGCUGGCGGCGUGCUUAACACAUGCAAGUCGAACGGAAAGGCCCUGCUUUUGUGGGGUGCUCGAGUGGCGAACGGGUGAGUAACACGUGAGUAACCUGCCCUUUACUUUGGGAUAACUUCAGGAAACUGGGGCUAAUACCGGAUAUGAGCUCCUGCUGCAUGGUGGGGGUUGGUAAGUUUCGGCGGUUGGGGAUGGACACGAGGUCUAUCAGCUUGUUGGUGGGGUAGUGGCUUACCAAGGCUUUGACGGGUAGCCGGCCUGGGAGGGUGACCGGCCACAUUGGGACUGGGAUAGGGCCAAGACGCCAACGGGGGGCAGCGGUGGGGAAUAUAGCGCGAAGGGCGGAGGCCUGAUGCAGCAACGCCGCGUGGGGGAUGACGGCCUGCGGGUUGGAAACCGCGUUCGCCUGUAACGAAGCGUGAGUGACGGUAAUGAGUAAAAAAGCACCGGCUAACUACGUG